AACAAUUACCCCCAGAGAGUAGCUAAAUACGAGAUAUUUCCUCGUACUACCCCUAAGAAUUCUAAGAAAAUAUCCGUGUAAUCCGGAUUACUCUCGAGCCCAAUAGCUAGCCCAACCACCUAACACGAAUUAAUCAACAUUAAUAACCCCUCACGCAGGAAUUGACAUAAAACAAACCAUUUUUCCCUCUUAGUAUGGGAGACAGAAAAGAGAUCCCGGCGCAAUAAAGAAAGUACCGCAAGGGGAAAGCUGAAAGAGAAAUGAAACAACCCAGUUCGAAGCCCAGCAAAGCAGAGU
rnacentral:rRNA from 1 species